rnacentral:rRNA from 1 species
UUGCCAGCAUUCAGUUGGGCACUCUAAGGUGACUGCCGGCUAAAAGUCGGAGGAAGGUGGGGAGUGACGUCAAAUCAUCAUGCCCCUUAUGACCUGGGCUACACACGUGCUACAAUGGGCGGUACAAAGGGUCGCGAACCCGCGAGGGGGAGCCAAUCCCAAAAAGCCGCUCUCAGUUCGGAUUGCAGGCUGCAACUCGCCUGCAUGAAGCCGGAAUCGCUAGUAAUCGCGGAUCGGCAUGCCGCGGUGAAUACGUUCCCGGGCCUU